UAUGAAGGUCAGGCUGAAGACCUUACCCCGAUUAGCUGAGAGGUGGUGCAUGGCCGUCGUCAGUUCGUACUGUGAAGCAUCCUGUUAAGUCAGGCACGAGCGAGACCCACGUCCACAGUUGCCAGCAUACCCUCCGGGGUGAUGGGUACACUGUGGAGACCGCCGCUGCUAAAGCGGAGGAAGGAGUGGGCAACGGUAGGUCAGUAUGCCCCGAAUCUCCCGGGCUACACGCGGGCUACAAUGGUUGGUACAAUGGGCAUCUACCCCGAAAGGGGAAGGAAAUCUCUUAAAGCCAAUCGUAGUUCGGAUUGAGGGCUGCAACUCGCCCUCAUGAAGCUGGAAUCCGUAGUAAUCGUCGUUUCAACAGAACGCGGUGAAUACGUCCCUGCUCCUUU
rnacentral:rRNA from 1 species